rnacentral:rRNA from 1 species
CACGUAGGGUGCAAGGCGUUGUCCGGAAUUAUUGGGCGUAAAGAGCUCGUAGGCGGUCUGUCGCGUCGAUCGUGAAAACUUGGGGCUUAACCCUGAGCUUGCGGUCGAUACGGGCAUGACUGGAGUUCGGCAGGGGAGACUGGAAUUCCUGGUGUAGCGGUGAGAUGCGCAGAUAUCAGGAGGAACACCGGUGGCGAAGGCGGGUCUCUGGGCCGAUACUGACGCUGAGGAGCGAAAGCGUGGGGAGCGAACAGG